AUGCUCCCAUUGCUUACACACCACUCUGACUGUAAAGUGCAAUUUCCCGUUGACUCAUGUUUCUGCCCUGCAACUAUCAUUAGCCGUGUGUGUGCGCGCUGUUGGUGUUUACAUAUGCGGCGUGAACGCACCCCCGAAGGCUGCGCGUGUUUUUCCUGUCAAUCCACAGAUGUGGUCCGGCAUCAAAGUGCGCUUCUUCCCCAGGGUGAUGCAUCCGCACCCGUCAGAAGUCAGGAGGCCUGUGUUUGCUCCAGGGAUUACAUUACCACACCACAGAGCUGCCAGACAGACCCGCUGCACCACCACCCAAGCGGGAACGCGGGGCCCCCUUUCUGCGCGGCGCGUUGGAAACAGAUCAGCUCGGAGCAGCCGGGGAACAUGAAAGGAGGGCGCUGACUACGGGGGAUGAGCGCAUUCCUCCACGACCCGCCGCCGCUGCCGCCGCUGGCCUGUGGCCGCACAGGGGAGCUCACAGCGAGGAACGCCGUUGCCUCAAAGUAAGGUGGAGGGUGGGGGGGGGGGGGGGGGGGGGGGGGGGGGGGGGGGGGGGGGGGGGGUUGGGGGUGAAUAUCCUUGAGCUCCUUCAGAUCUCAGGCAGCAAGCAGCACUUGACCUUUCCAGCACUAAAGGAAUAUGACAGCCGUGAAGCCGACAGAGAGGACGGGGGAGCAGGGCGGGGGGUGUGGGGGGGGGGCAGCGAGAGGCUAGAGACAAAAGCCACACAAAGUGCAGGCUGCCACCAAAACAGUUAGUUUGCAAUCAACGUCAGUCAUCCCUCCUGUCGGGACAGUUUGAUUUCCACUUUUCAAAUGAGGCGUUUAUUUUUGGCCUGAUAACAGGGCUGGCUAAAUUGAAAUUGGCAGCUCGACAAUCUACAGAUAAUAGUCAGCGACGCAGGAGAUCAUGUGAACAGCCCUUUCUUUCUCUUUACUGGGGCCCCCGCCCGCUCUCCUGUCGAAGACGAGAAAGGAGGAAAUGAGGGAGGGAGAGGGAGAGAAAAAGGGCUAAUCUUUGUCACAAUCAGAGGAGGCUGAGAAGGCAAAAAAGGAGUCUAAAAAUGAACCGGGUGGGGGGGGCGCAGACAAGGGGGGAGAAGGUAGCGUAAUGUGCUGGUG
rnacentral:lncRNA from 1 species